UACGUAGGUGGCAAGCGUUGUCCGGAUUUGCUGGGCGUAAAGAGCGCGCAGGCGGUCGAUUUAGUCGCGUGUGAAAGCCCCCGGCUCAACUGGGGAGGGUCACGCGAUACUGAUCGACUCGAAGGCAGGAGAGGGUAGUGGAAUUCCCGGUGUAGUGGUGAAAUGCGUAGAUAUCGGGAGGAACACCAGUGGCGAAGGCGACUACCUGGCCUGUUCUUGACGCUGAGGCGCGAAAGCUAGGGGAGCAAACGGG
rnacentral:rRNA from 1 species